rnacentral:misc_RNA from 1 species
GUUCCUUUCAGUUGCUUUCCUUAAUUAAAUGGGUGUAGUUUUUUUUUUCUCAGCAAGUUCUGAUUCCCUAAAAGCUUGUUUUCCCGAUCUGUUUAUCAAUACAAGGUAGUUCAUAUCAUUUGGUAUUUUCAUUGACCCUCCUCUACAAAUGGAUGACGGGGCACAUAAUACCUGGCUCAAAACAUUGGAUAAAGCUCUGAAACAGGUCAAGGAACAAGUUGUUUUCUGUAACAAGAGCUUCGAAUCCAUCACUGCUAUGAUUUAGAGAUAUACUUCCAUGUUUCAGG